GGUUAAUCCAGGUACGCGGUGCGUAAGACCUGUUUGUAUGCGGUAGUAUAGUCGGUCGUCGAUCGCGUUCGUAUGAAUAUUCGAAUUACUUCUAUGUGUGCAGUGUACAACAAACCAAACUAGUUCGUAACGAGGAAGUGCAGGAUACGACAACGAGGAAGUAUACGAUUUGAGAAGCAGAGUUAAAGCUAAGAUUAAUGCAGUUUCAAUUGAAGAUAAUAUUUUAAUCAAAAUAUAAAGAUUAUAAUUUGUUCGAGAUCGGGCACACUACUCGACCGACUACUACAUUGGGGUAGCUGCCAGCUACACAGGUCAAUCGAUUUGAACUCAAUCGAAACGGAAUGCACGCGGUUCCUGUUGCAAUCAAACAAGACGGCGAGACGAUAAGAAUAUAUAAUAGACGCUCCUCACACACAGUACGGUCACGGCAAGAUGACUUUUCGAGCGUAAUCGUUAUGAUUCGAGAAUAUGGGAAUUGGGAAAUAACAAGCACCUAAGAAGCAAGUUUUCACAUUAGUUUAUCACGAUACUAUACAGUAAUAAUAGUAACGAUAAUAUUAAAAUUACAAAAUGUCCAUCACACCAAACGUCCAACUUUUGAGUGUGCGCCAUUCAACUAUUAUAGUAUUACAUACUCACAUAAAAAACAGAGCAUUAUAGAAUUUUCACUUGCUGACAUUCAAGAUAAGUGCACGCUUGUGCGUACAAUGAACGCAUAUAAAUACAUGCAGACCGACUGAUGCUGUAGUUUCGUCCAGUUUUUCCGGAGGAGUGAUCCGGUCACCAUAGCUGAAGUUUACAACACGAGCUAUUAUAAUAAUUUUAAACGGUAAAAUGGGAUGAAUUCAAGCACUGCGAACACAUCAUACGAGAUCCAAUAAAUGAACUACCAGUAGUAACGUAUCAUUGAAAACUAUCACACUUUCGUAGUCUGUUUAGUAUACUAUGUCGGCACGAUAACGAAAGCGGCGAAGCACCAUGUACGUAAUAUUCAGUUCAACCGAUGGUUGUUUACCGGCCAUUUUGCCAGAACGUGACCGUCGGGCAGCUGCAAUGACCCCGGAAGUGCUAGUCCAGCCCUCACAAUGCCGUUCUCCGCAGUCGGUAUUUCGUACAAUGUAAUAAUAUAAUAAAUCGCCGAGUGCGGUGGGGU